UACGUAGGGGGCAAGCGUUGUCCGGAUUUAUUGGGCGUAAAGAGCGUGUAGGCGGUCAGGUAGGUCCGUUGUGAAAACUCGAGGCUCAACCUCGAGACGCCGAUGGAAACCAUCUGACUAGAGUCCGGAAGAGGAGAGUGGAAUUCCUGGUGUAGCGGUGAAAUGCGCAGAUAUCAGGAAGAACACCCGUGGCUAAGGCAGGUCUCUGGGCCACUACUGACGCUGAGAAGCGAAAGCACGGGGAGCGAACAGG
rnacentral:rRNA from 1 species